rnacentral:snRNA from 1 species
GGGCUCCUCAGUGAUCUGGCUGUGACAUCUGUCACCCCUUUGAGCUCCAGGGUUGAUUUGGCUGAUCUGGCUGGCUUGGCAGGUGCCCCCUUCCUCCCUCACUGCUCCAUGUGCAUCUCUCCCGAAGCUGCGUGCUUGGUCAAAGAGGAUGACCUUCUCUGAAUAGAGGAGGACCAGUCUUAGGUCAAUGAGGUAUAUGAGUAGCUGCUGCGCUCCCCUGCUAGAACCUCCAAAUAAGCCCUGCAGAAGCAUAUUUUUAAGUUUAAGAAUAGAUGAAUUAUCCAAGAGUUCAAGUUUCAGUUCUAGGCAGGUAGCAUAAAACU